GACGAACGCUGGCGGCGUGCUUAACACAUGCAAGUCGAACGAUGAAGCCGGAGCUUGCUCCGGUGGAUUAGUGGCGAACGGGUGAGUAACACGUGAGCAAUCUGCCCUUGACUCUGGGAUAGCUGCGGGAAACUGUAGCUAAUACCGGAUACGACACCUUGGGGCAUCCCAGGGUGUGGAAAGAAUUUCGGUCAAGGAUGAGCUCGCGGCCUAUCAGCUAGUUGGUGAGGUAAUGGCUCACCAAGGCGACGACGGGUAGCCGGCCUGAGAGGGUGACCGGCCACACUGGAACUGAGACACGGUCCAGACUCCUACGGGAGGCAGCAGUGGGGAAUAUUGCACAAUGGGCGCAAGCCUGAUGCAGCAACGCCGUGUGAGGGAUGACGGCCUUCGGGUUGUAAACCUCUUUUAGUAGGGAAGAAGCGAAAGUGACGGUACCUGCAGAAAAAGCACCGGCUAACUACGUGCCAGCCGCCGCAGUAA
rnacentral:rRNA from 1 species